GACGAACGCUGGCGGCGUGCUUAACACAUGCAAGUCGAACGGAAAGGCCCUGCUUUUGUGGGGUGCUCGAGUGGCGAACGGGUGAGUAACACGUGAGUAACCUGCCCUUGACUUUGGGAUAACUUCAGGAAACUGGGGCUAAUACCGGAUAGGAGCUCCUGCUGCAUGGUGGGGGUUGGAAAGUUUCGGCGGUUGGGGAUGGACUCGCGGCUUAUCAGCUUGUUGGUGGGGUAGUGGCUUACCAAGGCUUUGACGGGUAGCCGGCCUGAGAGGGUGACCGGCCACAUUGGGACUGAGAUACGGCCCAGACUCCUACGGGAGGCAGCAGUGGGGAAUAUUGCACAAUGGGCGGAAGCCUGAUGCAGCAACGCCGCGUGCGGGAUGACGGCCUUCGGGUUGUAAACCGCUUUCGCCUGUGACGAAGCGUGAGUGACGGUAAUGGGUAAAUAAGCACCGGCUAACUACGUG
rnacentral:rRNA from 1 species